rnacentral:lncRNA from 1 species
UUCUGAAUGGCCAGUAAGGGAUUUCUGCUGUUUGUAGAAGAACUUUAAAACUCACUUAUUCUAAACUACUGCUUUCCUAACUUCUUGGUUCUAAUAUUAUUUUGGCUGGUACCUUAAAUCUGUUUCAGCACUCGAYUGAAAUAUCCCCAGAAUGCUGUGUCUCCUGGUACUUACCCUGUUUGUGACAAUAUGAAGAUUUAAACAGUUGGAAUCAAAUGCCAGCAUUGGGAUUGACCACAGCUUUUUGUAUAGAACAUCUUCCACUGAAUAUGAAAACUUACAAACAGUUUUUCCUUCAGCUUUUUGAGCUCCUGCUCCCGGAUUUGCUUGGGAGCUGCAAAGAGAUUCUCGGAAAGUACAAAGCCCAAACGAAGCCUGGCUCAAAGCCAGAGGAGAGGAGAAUGACAAGGAAAGAAAAGAGACAUGUAAAGUAAAGUACAAGAAGGACCUAGAUAUGGACUGGGACCUGACUGUGGUAGAUAUUGCACAAAGACAGAACAAAAUGCCUCUGCCCUGGGGAAACUACAGUUUGAGAAACACCUGACAGAUAGGAAGCACAAGGACAUGAGGGGACAAGCACAAGCAUCUGUAAGUAUGGAGGGCAGAAAUUGCAAUCUAACAGCUCUCCUUUGAGAAUUAAAAGCUUGCUUCUGAAAUCAAUACCAUAUGAUCUAUAGAAAUCAUGAACGGAAAUGGUAAAUAGUAUCCUUAACAUAAAAUAGAUACAUUUUGAGUGUUUACAGACUCUCAGAAUAAGACAUGUCAACAUCAAGAAAAAUAAACUACAUUCUUUACACUUUCCA